GUGGCAGAGUGGCCUUGCUG
rnacentral:snRNA from 1 species